UUCAGAGGGAGUGGGAGAGACACAGAAGGGGAGGCUAGGGAGGGAAGAGGGCCAGAAACUGGGAGGGGAGGAAGUAGGGGCCAUAGGGAGGGAACAGGGCUGAAGGAGGCAAACCAAAGGCUAAGAUGAGAAGAGGGGGGUGGAGAGCAGGGGAAACAGGAAGAAAGGGAUGGAGAAAGGGAGGGAGGAGAGGAGAAUAAGCACUAAUGGAAGCUGGGCAGAGGAAGAGAAGAGAGGAAGUGGGAGGAAGAAUUUUCUUUGUUCUUUCUUCUCUUUCCCAGAGGGUGAGAGGAGGCAAGAGGGGCCAUGACUGAGGGGGUGAUGGCACCCCUGUGGCCCCUUCCAGCAUACGGCAAUUAAGUGUCUGGAGGGGAGUGCCUUUUCCUAACCCGGCACAAAGAUACCAUAUGGACCAGCUGCAGCUCUGGGCACAGGCUUGAAAAUCUGGUGGCUUUGGUUUUCCCUGUGAGGCAGAUUCUAGGUUAAACAAUCAAGAGAAGCCACAUCCAGACCUGACAUAAAUCAUGAGAUCCUGCUGUUAUGACUGGAUGAGACUUUGCGCAUCUUGGGGAUAAGUGUAUUUUCUAUGUGAGAGGGACAUGAAUAAAUGUAGUCAAGAGAGUGGA